GAAAUAUAUGAGCUUGUGAAGAAGCGGACAGAUGAGGCUGAUGACAUCAAUGAGUACAGGAUGCCUGAAGCUUAUGAUCAGGAAGGGGGUGUUAGUCAGGAUAAGAGGUUUGCGGUGGCAUUGCAGCGGUAUAGGGAUUCAGGUGCUGCCGAUAAAAUGAACCCCUUUGCAGAACAAGAGGCAUGGGAGGAACACCAAAUAGGGAAAGCAACAAUGAAAUUUGGUUCGAAAAACAAAAAGCAAUCAUCAGAUGAUUAUCAGUUUGUAUUUGAGGAUCAGAUUGAGUUUAUUAAGGCAUCAGUUAUGGAAGGUGAUGAGUUUGUUGAUGAACUUCAGACUGAAUCACUUGAGAAGUCCAAAGCUAAGUCAGCUCUGGAGAAGCUGCAGGAGGAGAGGAAAACAUUGCCAAUCUAUCCA
rnacentral:misc_RNA from 1 species